CCUACGGGUGGCUGCAGUGGGGGAUAUUGCACAAUGGGGGGAACCCUGAUGCAGCGACGCCGCGUGGGUGAAGAAGCGCCUCGGCGCGUAAAGCCCUGUCAGCAGGGAAGAAAAUGACGGUACCUGAAGAAGAAGCCCCGGCUAACUACGUGCCAGCAGCCGCGGUAAUACGUAGGGGGCAAGCGUUAUCCGGAUUUACUGGGUGUAAAGGGGGCGCAGACGGCGAUGCAAGCCAGGAGUGAAAGCCCGGGGCCCAACCCCGGGACUGCUCUUGGAACUGCGUGGCUGGAGUGCAGGAGGGGCAGGCGGAAUUCCUGGUGUAGCGGUGAAAUGCGUAGAUAUCAGGAGGAACACUCGUGGCGAAGGCGGGUUCCUGGACAUUAACUGACGCUGAGGCACGAAGGCCAGGGGAGCGAAAGGGAUUAGAUACCCGAGUAGUC
rnacentral:rRNA from 1 species